rnacentral:rRNA from 1 species
GACGAACGCUGGCGGCGUGCUUAACACAUGCAAGUCGAACGGAAAGGCCCUGCUUUUGUGGGGUGCUCGAGUGGCGAACGGGUGAGUAACACGUGAGUAACCUGCCCUUGACUUUGGGAUAACUUCAGGAAACUGGGGCUAAUAUCGGAUAGGAGCUCCUGCUGCAUGGUGUGGGUUGGAAAGUUUCGGCGGUGGGGGAUGGACUCGCGGCUUAUCAGCUUGUUGGUGGGGUAGUGGCUUACCAAGGCUUUGACGGGUAGCCGGCCUGAGAGGGUGACCGGCCACAUUGGGACUGAGAUACGGCCCAGACUCCUACGGGAGGCAGCAGUGGGGAAUAUUGCACAAUGGGCGGAAGCCUGAUGCAGCAACGCCGCGUGCGGGAUGACGGCCUUCGGGUUGUAAACCGCUUUCGCCUGUGACGAAGCGUGAGUGACGGUAAUGGGUAAAGAAGCACCGGCUAACUACGUG